UGGGGAAUAUUGCACAAUGGGCGCAAGCCUGAUGCAGCCAUGCCGCGUGUGUGAAGAAGGCCUUCGGGUUGUAAAGCACUUUCAGCGAGGAGGAAGGUGGUGGACUUAAUACGUUCAUCAAUUGACGUUACUCGCAGAAGAAGCACCGGCUAACUCCGUGCCAGCAGCCGCGGUAAUACGGAGGGUGCAAGCGUUAAUCGGAAUUACUGGGCGUAAAAGCGCACGCAGGCGGUUUGUUAAGUCAGAUGUGAAAUCCCCGGGCUCAACCUGGGAACUGCAUUUGAAAACUGCAGCUAGAGUCUCGUAGAGGGGGGUAGAAUUCCAGGUGUAGCGGUGAAAAUGCGUAGAGAUCUGGAGGAAUACCGGUGGCGAAGGCGGCCCCCUGGACGAAGACUGACGCUCAGGUGCGAAAAGCGUGGGGAGCAAAACAGGAUUAGAUACCCUGGUAGUCCACGCUGUAAAACGAUGUCGAUUUGGAGGUUGUGCCCUUGAGGCGUGGCUUCCGGAGCUAAACGCGUUAAAAUCGACCGCCUGGGGAGUACGGCCGCAAAGGUUAAAAACUCAAAAUGGAAUUGACGGGGUCAUAGCUGUUUCCUG
rnacentral:rRNA from 1 species